rnacentral:rRNA from 1 species
UACGUAGGGUGCAGGCGUUAAUCGGAAUUACUGGGCGUAAAGCGUGAGCAGGCGGUUUGCUAAGACAGGUGUGAAAUCCCCGGGCUUAACCUGGGAACUGCGCUUGUAACUGGCAAGCUUGAGUGUGGCAGAGGGGGGUGGAAUUCCACGUGUAGCAGUGAAAUGCGUAGAGAUGUGGAGGAACACCGAUGGCGAAGGCAGCCCCCUGGGCUAACACUGACGCUCAUGCACGAAAGCGUGGGGAGCAAACAGG